GACUAGGACUGGGGAGACCCGAGUUCAAAUCCCUAUUCAGCCAUGAUACUUGCUGGGUGACUCUGGGCCAAUCACUUCUCUCAGCCUAACCUACUUCACAGGGUUGUUGUGAGGAAAAACUUAGGUAUGUACACUGCUCUGGGCUCCUUGGGGAAAGCGUGGAAUAUAAAUGAAAAAAAUUUUUUUAUCCUGUCUUCAAGCAAUAAACUCUGGCAGUUAUUUCAAUUCAAAUUAAUCAUGGGCAUGGUGCAGUCCACCAAAUAAUACUGCUAUGUAUCCUCCAUUCAUCUCAGCUUAGUGGAGUGCACCCUUCAUGAGUGGAACAGACUUCAGGUUUCUGGGAUCUACUAUCUUUUCUGGUAGAGGUCCAAAGUCCUCCAACUGGAGCCAGGUGCAAGACAGUGGCCCAGAGGGUCAGGUAACACUUUGUAUAGUCUCAGGGACUUUGGAGGAAUUGCAUCUAUUUCCAAAACAGCAGGAAACAUUAUGAUCCUUAUGGAUGCAUAACCGGAGCAUCUGUGGUAUGGGUACGCAUCAGCUGACAUCCAGACAAAUCCUGCACUGAUGCACCAGAGUUUUCCAAUGCAUGAGGGAGGAUGGUGAUUUCUGGCAAUCUGCCCUUCCCUCUGCAGCUACCUGUGCCUCCUAACCAGUGUUCCCUCUAAGGUAAUAACUGGGGCCAGCCGUUCCAUGCAGCAGGGUGAAGCAAUAUACUUCAGGCAGCAAAUCAGGAGAGUGGCAGAUUUGGAACCACCCCCUCUACUUGCACACCUCCGCUGCAGCCAGUAACACUACUCUAGCCAACUCAACUCUAUGGACAGAAAGCUGCCAACCCUGCAGUGAAAAGCAGAAGCAAUGAGACAGGAACAGCUAAGUAAGGGGGUGUGAGACCAGUGUGGAUGCAUGUGGGGAAUGGAGGAGUGGCAUUGGGCACACUCCCUCAGGUAGUAAAAGGCCUUGGGGUUCCCCGGUCACAUAUGACCUGAAAGGGGUAUUCAAAUAUCUGAUACUUCCCCCUGCAACCUUUGCCAUGUCACACUACAGUUAUUUUCCUACAAUAAAAUAGUUAUA